GAAAAAGUGGAAAUUUUAAAUUUAGCCUUAAUCGUGGAGAUAGCUUAGAGAAGUCAAUACAUUUUUUCUGUCAAGUCUGUAAAUUGAUGGUUUGAAGUACCAUUACAAAUGCCUUCGAGAUGUGCAUAAAGGGGCACACCCUGCAAAAAGUGUGAGCAACUUCAUUAUAUAGGAAUCCAUGUAGAAGUUUCGGAUAAAGAAGAUGAAAUCCAUUUAGAAGUUUCGGAG
rnacentral:lncRNA from 1 species